AUUCUGAAGAAGAGUCUACCAGUUCUGGCUGAAAACUGCAGCAGUUGCUUUAUGCUGUGGGACUCCUGUAUUUCAAGCACGAAGUGCUCAGAGACAGUCAGCUCUUGGCUCCUUGAGCACAGAACUGCUACAAAUAACAGUGAUGUAUGAAAGCCCGGAACAACAGGACAGAUAUUCUGAAUGUGAAAUCAGAGUUUCUCAUUGCUAUGUUCCUGACAGAAUCAUAGCAGAAAGGGAAAGAUAUCAGGAAAGGAUCGCCAUGUAUUGGAGGUCUCCAAAUUGCCUGAUGGGCUGUAGAUUGAUUUCUGUACCACAGGUACAUUUGCUCAUUUACAACCAUUCUCAGCAUUUUCAAAAAAGGAUGCCUAAAAGUGUGAUGGUAUCCGGAUGUAUGGAGCACACAGUUCAGAGAAAAGCUUUCCUUCUGCCUUCUUUCUUCUCCACACUCCUUACCACUGUUGAUAAGAAAAUGAAGACAAGAUGAUCUCUUCUGUUUAUACAUGUUUUGUUGUAAGGCUUUUGCUUUGGGCUAAUUUCUUCCACUUGGCCGGCCAGCUUUUCUCCUGGGAUCUCUGAUAGUUGCUGUAGUGUUUGGCAGCCUGUGGCUCUGCAAGGUGUAAUGACUGGCUUCAAAUUUUCUGCUUUCUUCUGUCACUAUAAUACCUGGUGUUAGAAGUGCUGUUUACGAACUCCUUUUUUUCUUUUGAGAGGGAAUGACAGAUUACCAUUCAUCGCAUACACUUGUAAACAUUUCAACUGGAAGUAACCAGAAGAGUAGUGCAAUUAUUCCUUGUAGCUUUCUCCAGUAUUGCUCUUCGACAUUAUAGACAAACCAGCAUGAAUAUUCUUUUUUUCAUCUGAGCAAAAGCCAAUGCAGUUUUGUGUUAGGACUCCCAUCAUGACCAAUUUCCUUUGCUGUCAGUCUACACCUUCUGUUUGUCAUUUCUUUCUUAGUAUGCUAUUUAAAAUAUGAAUGUUCUUUCUUUGCUGCAUAUACUGUGAAGUCUGCUUUGUACAAUGUGUCAAGUUUUUGUAUCUUACAUUUGCACUUAUUUAAGUUGGAUUUGAGCUGUCACAUUCAAAAUUUGCUAUAUUUCUAGUUCACAAAAUGCAUGUGGAAUUUUCCUGUAAUGGAGUGACUGUUGUGAACUGGGCUCUUUGGCAAAUAAUUUCAUGCUGAGGAACCAGAUGGACAGGCACCCAAGCAGAAUACCUCCUUGUUUAAAUCAAUAUGAACUGGAGGCCAUUUCUUGGUAAUUGAGUUAAUGAGGUCAGUGAGAACUUCUUACUAGGAAUAAUUUGAAUGAUUUUGUAUUCUUAUAAUCACUUGUUAUGAAUUUACAACCAGUGUGAUCAUUCCUGGCUAGCAACUCAGAGAUUUAAAUGUUGAAAUGGAUAUUUGUGAUGACACAG
ensembl:lncRNA